GGGUGUUGUCUGCAUGGAGCAGUGACAGGUUGAGCGAUGGUCGGGCCACCACG
rnacentral:ncRNA from 22 species